AGCUGGUUCCUAAGGACUGCUGCAUUCAAAAUAGUAAUACUAAUACAAAUAUUAUAAAUUAUAAGGAUAAUCAGAUUUACAUUUCUCUGACAUUUCCCAGUGAACACUUCCAUUUCUUUGCAGCAUCACUUUAGAGAGAAUAACUCACAAGCCCUGAAGUCCUGCAUUUGGUUUGGCUCAUUGAAAAACUACUCAGAGGAAUUUGACAACGACAUUAGGUGUCUCCAUCACAGCUUUAUGGAACAGUUAAUGUGAGCUCGCUUUCAAGUCAGAAUCUAAAAGUCCAGGUGCAUCUUAACUCUGAACCUUUGAAGUUUACUCAUCCUCAUUUAAUGUGAUAAUGUAAUCUAUAUGUUCAGAAUCCAUUUGAGGGGCAGUACAGGGAAAAUGGCAUGCAGAAGGAAAGAUGAACUGCUCUCAGGGGUGAAAUCUAUCUCACACGUGCAUUUAUCUUGGGCAGACACUGUUGUUUAAACUAAAGAUAAUCACAGGCAGUUCUGUGACAUUAACCUGCUUAGUUACUCCUGAAUAAAACCAGGAAUGAA
rnacentral:lncRNA from 1 species